rfam:Winogradskyella sp. PG-2 DNA, complete genome.
UAUUUAGAGGAAGAAUUUGAUCUGAUUGCAACCUCUUAAAAAAAUGCUAAAGCAAUAAGU